rnacentral:rRNA from 1 species
AGCCAGACUCCUACGGGAGGCAGCAGUGGGGGAUAUUGCACAAUGGGGGAAACCCUGAUGCAGCGACGCCGCGUGGGUGAAGAAGCGCCUCGGCGCGUAAAGCCCUGUCAGCAGGGAAGAAAAUGACGGUACCUGACUAAGAAGCCCCGGCUAACUACGUGCCAGCAGCCGCGGUAAUACGUAGGGGGCAAGCGUUAUCCGGAUUUACUGGGUGUAAAGGGAGCGUAGGCGGUUUAGCAAGUCAGAAGUGAAAGCCCGGGGCUCAACUCCGGGACUGCUUUUGAAACUGUUGAACUAGAUUGCAGGAGAGGUAAGUGGAAUUCCUAGUGUAGCGGUGAAAUGCGUAGAUAUUAGGAGGAACACCGGCGGCGAAGGCGGCCUGCUGGACCGCGACUGACGUUGAGGCUCGAAAGCGUGGGGAGCGAACAGGAUUAGAUACCCCAGUA